UACGUAGGGGGCAAGCGUUGUCCGGAUUUAUUGGGCGUAAAGAGCGUGUAGGCGGCCAUACAGGUCAGCUGUGAAAACUCGAGGCUCAACCUCGAGACGUCGGUUGAAACCGUAUGGCUAGAGUCCGGAAGAGGAGAGUGGAAUUCCUGGUGUAGCGGUGAAAUGCGCAGAUAUCAGGAAGAACACCAAUGGCGAAGGCAGCUCUCUGGGACGGUACUGACGCUGAGACGCGAAAGCGUGGGGAGCGAACAGG
rnacentral:rRNA from 1 species